ACCCUUUUCACACACACAUAUAUAUAUAUAUAUAUAUAUAUAUAUAUAUAUAUAUAUAUAUGUGUGUGUGUGUGUGAAAAGGGU